rnacentral:lncRNA from 1 species
GAAAACCCCCCCGAAUCGGGGGCAUCGCUCCCCAAAAGGAAAUUCACGAACUCAGUGCGCAUGACCUUCACCGCAGGAAUCAUCUGAGCUCAGGGACACGGGGCCGACCCGACAUUCGGCAGGGCCCGUGCCAUGUUUACGUGUCUCAGCUGAUCCAAAAUGGGUCAAAAGAAUUGCGCAAUCCCGCCGUGCGUAGACGCAACACCCCCCUCACCCGCGCCCUGCCACGGAGCGCCCGCCCCAAUUGGAGUCGGAAGUUCAACCUUGCGAUUGCACAAUGCAUGUUCCCCUCGUUUUCCCUUUGUGUUGAGCAGGAACCAAAACAAACUCCGUUCAGUAGUUCCAGUUGGCGGAUUCGAACAUUUGGCGCGAAUGCGUGUCCGUCAUUCUUCCUCUGUUCGUGUCUUUGAUGAGGAAUUAUAAGUUACUCUGUGGAAAUUAAAAUUUCCCGCGGUUGAGCGCGUCGCGUCCCCCUGCGUGAGAUUCAUAUUUAAGGUCCAUUAAAUGGGUCACUUAAUUAGGUCCUUUCUUUUCCUUUUUCCGUGAAUUGCUGAACUCGUCGAUUCCGUUGUCUGGAUUGUGUUUGCCGAUUUGGAAAUUUGAUUUUGUUCCCUUUCGUGUGAGUGAAUUUUUACAAGGCGGUGUCCUAGAGUUUCGGUGAUCGAGUAUGGUGGACAGUUGUAUAAACUGAUAAGCCUUUAAGUAUACGGACAACGUUGCACUGCAAUUUAAUUUGUUUUGAAGUGUUUUCCUGUGCUGGAAGUGACCCUCAUUGACUCGAGGCUUUGUUUUUAAUGAUAUGCAUUGGAUCUGUCGAGCUGUUAAGGAAUUGCAAAUUAAUUAGAUGUAUGAGUAUUUUGCUACCAUGCAAGGAUCCAUCUUGUCUCGUCUUAAAUAUCCCAGAACUGAUCACUGACUCAUUUCUCCAGAACAUCCACAAGGCGAACGUUGUCUACACGAGCCGCUUCAACAAGUGGUAUCUCAGGACCCACUUGAAGAUUGAUGACUCAAAAAUAUUUACAUGCAGUUUUACUCAAACCUAUUUAAUACAAAAUGAAGGUUGCACCUCUGAGUAUUUUCUGUCUGCUGUCCCAUCAAAUUUUUCAAUCGGCUCUGCAGUUUUUGUUUUGAAAGGUGACUCGGGGUACACUAUCUAUCUAGGCAAAUUUCGGGAUCCCCAAAAGAUCCUGCUGAAUCCCUUGAUUCAGAGAAUUUCCCGAGGAGAGGAACCUGUGGUUGUACAGAUAGUAGACCCUGCCGAUGUGUUUGGAAAUGUUAACAGCUCUAAUCCUCCAAAGGAUGAAGUCACUCCAGAGUUCCUCUCUUCAUUAAUAAGGCGAGAGCUGAAGAGGGAACCUGAACGAAUCAUCAUUGGAGCCCCAAUUUUCGGAACGCAAAAAUUACUCCUACAAUUAGCCCAAGAACUACAAAUAACUCUAAAAGUGGACAGAGUGAGGGAGACAAUUUUCUCUUUUCUGCAAUUGAAUGAGGAUUUUUACAGUGCUAAGAAAAACCCAGAUCAUAUAGAAGUAAAGGACUUGAGUAGUUUUUCAUACAACUCUCAGCAGAAGAAAGUCAUCUUCAGUCCAGGCUCCAGGUUUGAAAAUGCAGUGUACGUCAAAAUCGGAUCACUACCUUGUGAUGAAUUGACUGAUGAGAAGUUGUCACAUGGAAGUAAUAUAUUUUAUUUCCUACCAAAUGUUCACACCGUGACUCAAGAUGACUUGGGUAUAUUUCUUGAUAAACUCAAGCCAAGAAAAAUUCUGGAUCUCCCACCAUUGUUAAUUGAAGCGUGGAAGAUUUGCAACUACAACAGAGAAGGCGACUUCAUCCCAAGAAUGAGGUCUCGUCACAACUCUCGGAUACUGUCCAAAGGAUUUCUUAGGAAUUACAAAACUAACCCAAAAAUUCUACCCAAAGAUCUUCAAGAAAUUUUUAGUCACUCUCGGCGACAGAGAUCUGCAGCACCUCGGUGUGAUAGUGAAUCUUUUCCAAAUUCAGACAAGGAGCUAACGGUAGUCAGUGUUGAAGGUGACAGUGAAAAAACCGUUGAACUCGUUGAGCAGGAUUCAAAGCUGUUCUGGAAAAAGCCUGAAGACUUGCUGAAUCAGAGUAGAUUAACAUCAAGUAAUUUGACAAAGAAUGAAGUUUCUGAGGAGCGAACCAAGCUUAUGCAGAGCUACUUGGCAUCCGAGUCUGAGCGACUAAAAGGAUCCAAGUCCUCAGACCCUGUAACCAAAGCUGUGAUAAGGCCUGAUAGAAAAGCCGCACCCAAGAGAGUUUUUAUUCAGGUUGAGGAGCAAAAAAUUACUGUGCGUAAGUAUAGGAUCCUCAACAGUCCUCCUUGCAGCAGAGAAAACUUAAGUUGGAAGCAAAAAUUUGGCUGUGAUCGCAAAUUAAGUUCAUCCCCAGAAGAAGAAGCAAUAGAUUCAGUUUCUGAUGAUGUUCCAACACACAACACCCAUCUGAGGCUGAAGCAGCUGUUGCAAAAGUCAUUACGCUCAGGAACAACACAAGCACCAAUUCCAAUUUGCAGAGUUGUCCUCCAUAAAUCAUCCUUGCUCCCAUCCGAUAAUAUCUGUGAUACUAAAUUUGAAGGUAAAAAAAGUCUUCUGACCUAUGAAGAGAAGGAUCAAAACAAUAAAAGAAAAAUGGGGAAUAUUCCUUCAAAGUUAGAGCUAAGGCAGGCUAAACAAUUGAAAGACAUGAGGAAAGAAUUAAAGAAUCUUUUGAUCAAUGGGACAUCUAAUUUAUGUCCUGUUAAUCUUGAGUCCCCUAACAGCUCAUUAUCCUACCUAAAUAAGACAUCUCUUUUAUCCGAACAAAGAGACUCUAGUAAAGAAAAGGACUUGAGAGCCAGUUUCAAAUGUGGGCAGAAAAACCAACUCAAGGCCGAGUCUCUAGGGGAUGGGAACAUGAACACACAGAGUGAAAUUAACUGCUCUACAACCAAGAAAAAGAGCCUGCAAGAACGAGAAUUGCAGUCUCUCAUCAUUGACGGAACUCCAAAUUUAUGCCCCAUUAACUGUGCUGCUUCAGAUAGCUCCGUUGAUGACAUUAAAAGAGAAGAAUUCAAUAGUCGUGCAAGGAGAAAAUGUGAGCCCAAAGAAGGUUCAAUUAAUCACGAGUCAAAUAUCGAGGAAGUACCUAGAACUUCAAAUGAUGAAAGUUACUCCAUAUCUAAAGAGAAAAACCAGCAUGUCAUAACCUGUAAUAAAACUCGAAAUUCAUCUCAAAUAAACAGUCAACCUGACAACCCAGUUUACAGGAAUAUAAAUGAAAAACUGAAAAGCAAUUCAAUGAGGUUAGCUGGAAACAGGAGUCAUGAAAACAGACAUCCAAAAGAUUCAAAACCUAAUGGAUUUUCCUCCUCUGAGCAGAGUUGUGAGUUAGAAGCAGACUUUUCUGAAAUUAAUUCCAAAGAAGAUUCUCCAAGAAGAUUUAGAAGUUGUAGAAAAGCAGAAUAUCCAAACUCAGAAAAUGUUGAAAACUUGUCAACAUCCAUUGAUGAAGGCAGUAGAAGCCUCAGAGUAAAUGGAGUUUUAGACUUAGGUAGUAGUGAUUCAGGUAGACUCUCUCUGGAAAACAACGAUGAUAAAUUUGUUGAAAGUCUUAAAGUAAGACAGACAUGUACCAAAAGAAAAUUAGCGGAGGCCUUUACAAGCCCUACCUCCAUGAUCUAUUCAAGAAAAUUGAGAAAAUACUCAGAUUCCAGCUAUGAAAAUUCUGAAGUUGUCUUCAAUCAUGAAACUGAACUUGGCCAUGAAGUUGGUAAUUCAAACUGUAUUCCUCAAAAAUGUGGAAGGAAAACUACUGAUCUGAGUCAAAAGACUCAUGUCCAUCCACCUCAAGGUGAGAAUUUAAAGAAGUUGAUCUCAAGUGGGUUGAAAAGUCUACUGGUACGAAAGAUGGAAAAGGAAUUUAAAGCAGGACUCAGUAGGAAUCAAGGGAGCCAGCAGUCAGAAAAAAAUUCUAUCAAAGCUAGCGCACAACCUGAAACUAAAAUCCCUUGCGUUUCAGGGAAGAGAGACCUUUUCUCUGCGCCGAGAGAGUCAAGAAAUUCAAAUGUGCCAGAAAAAUCAAGCCCACAAAACAGAGCCAAGAGCAAGGAAACUACUUAUAAACAAAGAGCUCUCGCUUCUCUCCAGAAAGAGUUAAAAAUUUAA